rnacentral:tRNA from 1 species
AAAGGGGUAGUUUAAUAAAAAUGUUAGUUUUGGGAAUUAAUGAUAGGAAGAGUCCUUCCCUUGA